rnacentral:rRNA from 1 species
UCCGGUGCCAGCAGCGGUGGUAAUACUGAAUGGGGAUAGCGUUGAUUUAAAGUUACUGGGGGUAAAGCGCCAGUAGGAGAACUAAAAAGUCAGGGGUGAAAUCGGGAGGCUCAAUGUCAGAACAGCGUCUGAAACUGGCAGUGGUGAGUGCGAGAGAGGUGAGUGGAAUUAAGAGUGUAGAGGUGAAAUUGGUAGAUAUUCGGAGGAACACCAGUGGGGAAGGCGACUCACUGUCUCGCUACAGACGGUGAGGUGCGAACGCGUGGAGAGCAAACAGGAUUACAUACCCUGAUAGUCCACGCCGUAAACGAGGAUUUCCAGACGUCGGGUAGCGUAGUAUUCGGUGUCACACCUACCCGAUGAAGCAUUCCGCGCGGGGAGUACGGUCGCAAGGUUAGAACUCAAAGGAAUCGACGGGGGCCCGCACAAGCGGUGGAGCAUGCGGUUUAAUUCGAAGCAACGCGCAGAACCUUACCAACCCUCGACAUGUGAAUGGGGGUUCCAGAGAUGGGUCCUUCAGUUCGGCUGGAUCCAACACAGGUUCAGCAUGGCUGUUGUCAGCUUGGGUUAAGAGAUGUUCGGAUAAGUCCGGCAACGAGCGCAACCCACAAUUCCAGUUUCCAUCAUUCAGUUGGGCAAUAAGGAAGAAGAACCGGGGAUAAGCCGGAGGAAGGUGUGGACGACGUCAAGUCGUCAUCGCCCUUCCGGCAAGGGCUACACACGUGGGUCAAUGGUAGUGGCAAUGGGUUAAUUCCAAAAAGCUCUGUCAGUUUGGAUAGGGGUGUGCAACUCGACCCCAUGAAGUGUGAAAAUCUAGUAAUCUCGUAACACCAAGUCGCGGUGAAAACGUUUCCCGGCCUUGUGCACACCCCCCGUCUCACCACGGAAAUGGGUUUUACCGACGACGUUCCACCAAGACCACAAAGUAGAGUAAGUAG